CAAAUGCUUCGCUUCUUCAAGAGGCUCUUUCUACAAUACUUGAACAGUUGAACAGGGUCUGCAACCAAAAUGUGGCUACACUUCUCACUAAUUUCUCACUCUUAUCUCUCUCUCCUCUCUCUCCUCUCUCUCUCUCUCUCUCUCUCUCCUCUCUGUCUUAAAUGUGUGGCUAAUAUUUAAAUAAAUUUGGCAGGUUUUAUUAUAUUAAUUACCAUUUCAAUGAGGGUAAAAUAAAUAGCAACAGUUGAAUUGCCAGUCACAAGGUGUGAAGAAAAGCAAUCUUCUUGAUUUGGCUUCUGCAGAGACAAACAAGCUUGGCCCUGCAGGCAAUCAUGACCAGCCUCUCUGCCCCAAGCCUCGUAGAGUUGGCCCUGCCGUACCUGAAUUCCUCAAGCCUCAAAGAUGUAACAAGCACAGCCAACAAAAUUCUGAUGAAAGAAGUGGAAUUCUGAAUAUGAUCACUGCAAAGGAAAUAUUUGAUGGGAGAGAAUAUGUAUGCACCAAGUGUUCACCAGCAUGUUACUCAGGAUCUCCACCAGGCAGAACAAAUAACCCUUUGGUUCAUGAUGUGCAGUUUCUUCAUCAGAUGGAACUUCUUUCUCCAUUCACAAGAACAAAGCUCUCAGAUAAAUUUGGUUUUAGUACCUCUGCCUCUCCAGUGUGAUCAGCCUCAGAAAUGGUGUCGUCUCCCGAUUUUUUGGAAGAAUGAGAGUUUUUGUUUCCCGGAAUUUUCAGGGUUCUGUUUUUGUAGUGUUCAUUUGUAAAAGUUUUGUAACCUUUUGAGUUCAAUUGUGAGUAUCAAAUUGUAUAUAUGAUGAGAUGAGUACCUCAAAUUUGUCUUGUAUAUAUGAUUGUGAUAAUAAUA